UGCACUCCAGCCUGGGCGACAGAGCGAGACUCCGUCUCAAAAAAAAAAAAAAAAAAAAAAAAAAAAAAAAAAAAAAAGGAGAGGGCUGACAAGGAAGAAGUGGCACAACUAGAGCCGAAUGUUUGGGGGAGGUAUAUGUCUGCCAAAAAAUGAAUAUAAUUUCAGGUGACUCAAUAGAAGUGGAGGGGACAGUUUCUAUUGUUCUGCCCUGCUCAUAUCUAGAUAACUCUUACUUUUCCUUUAGGUCGGGGGUCUUCUAAGCCAGAAAACCUUCCCUGACUUAAGUGCACUCCUUUCUAUGUUUGCAUAGAUCUCUUUCUUAACUUUACCCCAUUAUAGUAAAAUUAUGUUUUCACAUUUGCCUUUAUACUCAAACCUCCACCAAAAUAUUGUGAGCUCUCUGAAGGUAAGGACUUUGUCUUAUUAUCGUCAUACCUGGAGACAGAUUAAAACAAUAUGAUGUUUGCGGGGACCAGGGAAAAGGGGAGUGGGAAAGGCUCAUCUGGUUAGUCUAAAAGAAAAGUAUCAGGCACCUACUUGAAUCCUUAUCUGAUUUGUUUCUGACCAUGAGAGGGGAUGCUGAGAUGCCCAAAGAUGUGCAAAUGGUGGGAUCUGGCGCACCAUAGUAGGCAGAGGAGUGAAGAUUUCUCACCUCGGGUCUUCCUAGACCUUCAGGUCACAUGGGAGUUGUUCUGUUUAUAGACGGCACUGGCCUUAGUACUCACUCUCCCUCUAUUUUCCUUCCUUUCUUAUAACUAGGUUUCCCUACUCACUUCCUCAAAAAGAGUGAUGUAGGUCCAUGUGUACCCUCCCAACUGGCCUGGGUCCUCUCACUUCUUUGUAAGGCCUGAAAAAUUCUCUGGUGGAUGAUGGUUAGAAAAGGAAGAGGAACCUUCUUUGAUGCUCCCUCCUACUCAGCCCUGUUUAGUGGGAUUUUUCAGCCUACUGUAAAGCCUACUGCUGCCUGUAAAGCCACCUAAGUGCAUCACUUGCAGAUGUUCACCAUGAUAACAACAAUGUAUGGGGACAGAAUAUGUUUCUAGAGCUGCUGGUGCCACUACUUCUGACAAGUUACUGGGGUCCCUGAAAACACCACAGUGCAGGGUCUUGCCCUGUCGCCCAGGCUGGAGUACAGUGGCUCAGUCAUGGCUCAUUGCAGCGUAGACCUCCCGAGUUCAAGUGAUCCUUCUGCAUCAGUCUCUCAAGUAGCUGGGACUACAGGUGCAUGCCACCACUCCCGGCUAAUUAAAGAAAAAAAUUGUAGAGAAGGGGUCUUGCUAUGUGGUCCAGGCUGGUCUUGAACUCCUGGGCUCAAGUAAUCCUCCAGCCUCAGCCUUCCAGAGUACUGGGAUUACAGGUGUGAGCCACCGUGUCCAGCUAUAUUUCCUUUUCUAGAAGUGUUCUCUCAGACUUCUGACUGGCCCACCAUAAAAGAUUGUUCCCGUAUAUGAAGCUCUGAGUGACUACCAUACGCUAACCACUCUAUAUGGAUUUUCUCAUUUGACACUGUGAGGUAAGCACUUUUAUUACUUCUGUUUUAUAGAUUACAAAACCAAGCUCAGUGAGGUUCGCUAAUGUGCUCGACAUACAGUCAAUAAGAGACACCUGAAGGGCCAGUAGCACUGGAGGAACGGAAGACCCUAAGAGAAAAAUGCUGAUGCAAUUAGACUUUACCUAGUCUCCCCCACCUUCCAGACUGGGGCCCUGACACAAAGACUUUGUCAGACAAGCACACAGAGGGGAAGAUUUCACUUUAUUGUUACAUCAGUCUCACAAAUGAACCCAACACAGCCAGAAACACUGAAAGGAUAAAGUGCCAAUGCAGAGAGGCCUGGCGAUAGGAGGAGGGAGGAAUCCAGUUCGUCUCCUCCACGUCCCCAGCCUGGAAAUAUAUUUCUAUUACACAAGAGUGAGGGCAGCUGACAUACCAGGCAACCCAUUGUAUAGACACUUUGAGCUAAGAAAUAGAAAAUUGUACCAGGUAGGGUCUGUGCAGGGCAAGAAAAUAGAAAAAAGUCAGAAAACGUUAUUUUCCCAAGUGAGUCAGGCAUGGAAAUAUCAAAUGAUAAAAACAAUAUUUUUCAAACUCCCUGUUAUUUGAGAUAGAUUUCUAAUAAGGAAUGAGACAAGUUUGGUGCUUCAUGCUACUGCCUAUUUUCAUAACUAUGACAUGGGUAGACACCCUUUCUCCCACACCCUCAAUCUAAGGUACCAGAAUUUUUAGGACUCCUGGGAAAAACUGACCUCACCUUCUUACCUUCUCAGUCCCCAAAAAUUAGACCAAGUCCUCCCUCAUGCACAUCAAGGAGAUGUGAGCUAAGAGAGUAAUCAACUUGGAGGCAUUUAAAGGAAGUGAGUGAAGGCCGGGUGCGGUGGCUCACGCCUGUAAUCCCAGCACUUUGGGAGGCCAAGGCGGGCGGACCACAAGGUCAGGAGAUCGAGACCAUCCUGUAAAUGGUGAAACCCUGUCUCUACUAAAAAUACAAAAAAUUAGCCGGGCGUGGUGGCGGGCGCCUGUAGUCCCAGCUACUCAGGAGGCUGAGGCAGGAGAAUGGCAUGAACCCGGGAGGCGGAGCUUGCAGUGAACCGAGAUCGUGCCACUGCACUCCAGCCUGGGCGACAGAGUGAGACUCCGUCUAAAAAAAAAAAAAAAAAAAGAAUAAACCAGAAGGAACCUUCAACAUGCCUCACUGUGGCUAAGAGUCAAGGCUCAGAGUAGAACUUUCAAGUAGGGAAGUAAAGGGUGAACUUUACUUCAACUUAGUAUCAGGAUAAGAGGCAGGCCAAAGUAUUGCCAUGAAAGGUAGGAAAGGAGCAUGGAGAGGCCUCAGUGGAAAGGUACAAAUCCCCGCUAGGUAAGAGAAUGGGGUGUUGCUAGAGGGAGUGCUGAAGGCUGGUAACCCCGGGAUCACCCCUGAUGAGCUUCAGAUGUAGCCUCCCAACCAUGGCUGCGCUUAGCUUUCUAUCUAGCUUCUUUAGGUAGAGGCUGAUAGGAAGGGGGCCUAGGGAAUGACCCCAUGACAACUGACUACAGUAUGCCUGCCUAGUUGUUCAAAUAAUGGUCACCAAGUUCCUAGUCUUUAGGGAGCUUCUGUGAGGCCCAAAUCAUUCAGAGUUCCAAAGGGUUGUUCGGUAGGGGCAGUUGCUGAACACCAGACAAGGUAGUUGGUAGUACUUGUUUAAAGUGGGAUCCUUUAAACAAACACUCCUGAGAACUACUGCUAUGACACAGGGUAGACUUGGGAAUAUCUUAAAGGGAUACCCACAGCUAGCUAUUUUUCUGACUUGUCCAAGCACUUCUAUGACCAAACUGAAGGGGAGAUUCCAUUACAGACACCUGUGUGCCUAACAUGACACCCCAGUCAAAAAGCUUCAAGAAACCUUGUAUUCUCCCCAGCCUUUGAGAGGGGUCAGGAAAUACUGGGCAGUUAUAAAAAGUUGUCCUUAACAUUGCUGGCUCCUGCUCUGCCUCUUUCCUUUUAUCAGGACAGAACUGAACAUCUCAAUUCCCUGCCUGAAAAUGUCAUUCCCUACCUCCCAGAAAGGUUUAUCUAGAUAGGCCUCUCCACCAACUGAUUCUACUCAGUCUACUCCCUUCUAUUCUAGCCUUGCUCUUUUUGUCCCCCCAUCUUUCUCUACUCCUGGUUUCCAGCUACUUAAGUCCUUGACAGACACUUAAUAGGAUGGGCAGAAAUGCUGAUCGGAUCUUGGGAGUAAUCAACGUCUGACAGUGACACUCUGAUUUACUUAAGCCUUCAAUUCCAUAUAAGAGAGGGAUUAAUAUUCCUCUGUCUGUGGUUCUUCCUUUCCUCCAAGAGGUUCACAGUGAGAAACCAUUUCAUUCAUCUUUGUACGCUCAUUUUUAGGCACCAAGAUGAGGGCCUAAAUGUGACAGUUUGGGGCAAGGAACUUUUAGUGGGCUUGGCACACAGGAGGGAGAGCUACCCAAAUCAUCCUAGCAUCCAUCUCCAGAGCAUAUUCCUCCCCUGCUCUGCCUUUUUUUUUUUUUUUUUUAAACACAUU